rnacentral:siRNA from 1 species
AUGUUCUGCUUUGUGUUGUCCA